rnacentral:rRNA from 1 species
CCUACGGGAGGCAGCAGUGGGGAAUAUUGCGCAAUGGACGAAAGUCUGACGCAGCGACGCCUCGUGAGGGACGAAGGUCUUCGGAUUGUAAACCUCUUUCAGCAGGGACGAAGCGAAAGUGACGGUACCUGCAGAAGAAGCACCGGCUAACUCCGUGCCAGCAGCCGCGGUAAUACGGAGGGUGCAAGCGUUAUCCGGAUUCACUGGGUUUAAAGGGAGCGUAGGCGGGCGUGUAAGUCAGUGGUGAAAGCCCUCAGCUUAACUGAGGAACUGCCAUUGAUACUAUAUGUCUUGAAUGUCGUUGAGGUUUGCGGAAUAGGUCAUGUAGCGGUGAAAUGCUUAGAUAUGACCUAGAACACCUAUUGCGAAGGCAGCAGGCUAAACGAAUAUUGACGCUGAGGCUCGAAGGCGUGGGGAUCAAACAGGAUUAGAUACCCUGGUAGUCCACGCCCUAAACGAUGAUUACUCGACAUUGGCGAUACACAGUCAGUGUCUGAGCGAAAGCAUUAAGUAAUCCACCUGGGAAGUACGACCGCAAGGUUGAAACUCAAAGGAAUUGACGG